GAUGAACGCUGGCGGCGUGCCUAAUACAUGCAAGUCGAGCGAAGCGGGGACGGGUGAGUAACACGUGGAUAACCUCCUAUAUGACUGGGAUAAAUUCGGGAAACCGGAGCUAAACCGGAUAAUUAUCGCUGGAUGUGCGCUGCAUUAGCUAGUUGGUAAGGUAACGUCUUACCAAGUCAACGAUGCAUAGCGGACCUGAGAGGGUGAGCAGCCACACUGGAACGGAGACACGGUCCAGACUCCUACGGGAGGCAGCAGUAGGGAAUAUUCCGCAAUGGGCGAAAGCCUGACGGAGCAACGCCGCGUGAGUGAUGAAGGUCUUCGGAUCGUAAAACUCUGUUAUGAGGGAAGCGGUACCUAAACAGAAAGCCACGGCUAACUACGUGCCAGCAGCCGCGGUAAUAC
rnacentral:rRNA from 1 species